rnacentral:rRNA from 1 species
AUUGAACGCUGGCGGCAGGCCUAACACAUGCAAGUCGAGCGGAUGAGAGGAGCUUGCUUCUCGAUUCAGCGGCGGACGGGUGAGUAAUGCCUAGGAAUCUGCCUGGUAGUGGGGGACAACGUUUCGAAAGGAACGCUAAUACCGCAUACGUCCUACGGGAGAAAGCAGGGGACCUUCGGUCCUUGCGCUAUCAGAUGAGCCUAGGUCGGAUUAGCUAGUUGGUGAGGUAAUGGCUCACCAAGGCGACGAUCCGUAACUGAUCUGAGAGGAUGAUCAGUCACACUGGAACUGAGACACGGUCCAGACUCCUACGGGAGGCAGCAGUGGGGAAUAUUGGACAAUGGGCGAAAGCCUGAUCCAGCCAUGCCGCGUGUGUGAAGAAGGUCUUCGGAUUGUAAAGCACUUUAAGUUGGGAGGAAGGGUUGUAGAUUAAUACUCUGCAAUUUUGACGUUACCGACAGAAUAAGCACCGGCUAACUCUGUGCCAGCCGCCGCAGUAAUAC